GCGGUGACUAAUCGUCCUGACUAAUCGGAUCGUGUGGGAUCCCGACAGUAGAAACAAAUCUAUUACAUUCAGUCCUUUAUUAGCGAAUGAUGUCUGGAGUGCACUAUAAUUGAAAGUCGGUUGAGGGAUAUUAGACUGGCCUUCUGAGGAGUUAGAGAUUAGUCCAUCCCUGCGCCCAGUUGGUACUUCCCAGAAGGGUCCUCCUAGAAUUCCGACAGAAUCUCUUGCUACCAGGGCAAUAAUAUCAGCACACGAUACAAUACUAGGGCACUCUGCUUCCACCACACUUUUGACACGAUCGAUGAAAUCGAAUCCCCGAUAGGGUCAGGUUCGGAUUCG
rnacentral:misc_RNA from 1 species